AUUGAACGCUGGCGGCAGGCCUAACACAUGCAAGUCGAACGAGUGGCGGACGGGUGAGUAAUGUCUGGGAAACUGCCUGAUGGAGGGGGCUAACUACUGGAAACGGUAGCUAAUACCGCAUACCAUCGGAUGUGCCCAGAUGGGAUUAGCUAGUAGGUGGGGGAAAGGCUCACCUAGGCGACGAUCCCUAGCUGGUCUGAGAGGAUGACCCGGCACACUGGAACGGGGGCACGGGCCAGACUCCCAAGGGCGGCAGCAAUGGGGAAUUUUGGACAAAGGGCGCCAGCCUGAGGCAGCCAUGCCGCGGUGAUGAAGAAGGCCUUCGGGUUUGAAAGUUCUUUCAGCCGGGAGGCGUUACCCGCAGAAGAAGCACCGGCUAACUCCGUGCCAGCAGCCGCGGUAAUAC
rnacentral:rRNA from 1 species